rnacentral:rRNA from 1 species
GACGAACGCUGGCGGCGUGCUUAACACAUGCAAGUCGAACGGUGAAGCCCUUCGGGGUGGAUCAGUGGCGAACGGGUGAGUAACACGUGAGCAACCUGCCCCUGGCUCUGGGACAACCACUGGAAACGGUGGCUAAUACCGGAUACGACCCGCCUCGGCAUCGAGUGUGGGUGGAAAGUUUUUCGGCUGGGGAUGGGCUCGCGGCCUAUCAGCUUGUUGGUGAGGUGAAGGCUCACCAAGGCGACGACGGGUAGCCGGCCUGAGAGGGCGACCGGCCACACUGGGACUGAGACACGGCCCAGACUCCUACGGGAGGCAGCAGUGGGGAAUAUUGCACAAUGGGCGAAAGCCUGAUGCAGCGACGCCGCGUGAGGGAUGACGGCCUUCGGGUUGUAAACCUCUUUCAGCUCCGAAGAAGCGAAAGUGGCGGUAGGAGCAGAAGAAGCACCGGCUAACUACGUG